UACGAAGGGGGCUAGCGUUGCUCGGAAUCACUGGGCGUAAAGGGUGCGUAGGCGGGUCUUUUAAGUCAGGGGUGAAAUCCUGGAGCUCAACUCCAGAACUGCCUUUGAUACUGAAGAUCUUGAGUUCGGGAGAGGUGAGUGGAACUGCGAGUGUAGAGGUGAAAUUCGUAGAUAUUCGCAAGAACACCAGUGGCGAAGGCGACUCACUGGCCCGUUAUGACGCUGAGGCGACGAAAGCG
rnacentral:rRNA from 1 species